rnacentral:rRNA from 1 species
AGAGUUUGAUCAUGGCUCAGGGUGAACGCUGGCGGCGCGCCUAACACAUGCAAGUCGGGCGAUCGGCUUGCCGAAGUCGCAAGGCUGAGGCAAGUACGGAGCGGCAAACGGGUGAGUAAUACGUAGCUAACCUACCCUCGCGCCGGGGAUAACCCUGGGAAACCAGGGCUAAUAUCCGAUGGUCUUCGGGGGGCGGAGGUCCUCCGAAGUAAAGGCGCCAAGGCGCUGUGCGAGGAGGGGGUUACGGCCCAUCAGCUUGUUGGUGGGGUAAUGGCCCACCAAGGCGAAGACGGGUAGGGGGCCUGAGAGGGUGGCCCCCCACAUGGGGACUGAGACACGGCCCCGACUCCUACGGGAGGCAGCAGUGGGGAAUCUUGGGCAAUGGGCGAAAGCCUGACCCAGCGACGCCGCGUGCGGGACGAAGCCCUUCGGGGCGUAAACCGCUUUUCUGGGGGAAGAAUGAGGUGGGGAGGGAAUGCCCCAUCGAUGACGGUACCCCAGGAAUAAGGGACGGCUAACUACGUGCCAGCAGCCGCGGUAAGACGUAGGUCCCGAGCGUUACCCGGAUUCAUUGGGCGUAAAGGGCGCGUAGGCGGUUUGGCAAGUCGUCUGUGAAAGUCCGGGGCUCAACUCCGGGAGGUCGGACGAAACUGCCAGGCUAGAGGACGGCAGAGGAGGGUGGAACGACCGGAGUAGCGGUGAAAUGCGUAGAUACCGGUCGGAAUCCCGAUGGCGAAGGCAACCCUCUGGGCCGGUCCUGACGCUGAGGCGCGAAAGCGUGGGGGAGCAAACCGGAUUAGAUACCCGGGUAGUCCACGCCCUAAACGAUGUGGGCUAGGUGUUGGCCCGUAAUUGGGUCGGCGCCGCAGUUAACGCGUUAAGCCCACCGCCUGGGUAGUACGGCCGCAAGGUUGAACUCAAUGAAUUGACGG